CUCGAUUGUUUAUGUCCACGCGCGGAGCUUGCGGCGAGAGUGACCCCGGCUUCCGGCGAUUCGGAAGUCGGAGUUGGGCACGGAAGCUUCGGGCGUUGGCAUAAAAGCUCGCCGAAGACGCUUGAACAGGGUUAGGCGGCGUGAGGUUUCAAGACCCGAGACAACCCGGUCCAGCCCCUGUUAGAGCAGCUAUAGAAGUAGGCAAAGAAUAAAGUGUAAAUUGUCCCCUAAAGUGUGGUUCCGUCCCCCCCCCCCAUAGGGUUCCCACUAUCUUAGGCACAUCGAAUCUUAACAACGCAUUUUUAACGACCAAAAAUUAAGAGAGAAAUCAGAGUAAUAGUGCAUGCACAAAGCUGAAAGUAUCUUUGCCAUCCUGCUGAUUCUCCCAUAUUUCUGCCGCAAAGCAAUCGAUUUCAUGUCUAUUUCCUGUUCGAUCUUCAGUUUCCGGCUCCGGCCAGGAUACCGUUUCCGCCGUUUCCGGUCCUCCUGUUCGAGAAUGGAAUUUAUCAACCUAACCUACAAACCUUGCUACAAACCAUAAACAGAUAACGUGAACGAGACGUGGUCGACCGAACGCUUUAUCAGAUCCAGUGAAUUGACUUUGGACUUUCCUCACCACUCACGUGGAUAAUAAACAAACGUGAACGAGAAUAUACGCGAGUAAAAUUCGGUAAAUAUAUUCUCAAGUGUAUUCUCAGUAGUACAGAUUCUGAGCUUACGUAGUGAACACGAAAAAAUCUGUGGCACUUGUUCUAUUCUUGUUGGUCAUCGAUCACCAUUUCUUUUGCAUUGCCGUUUGAUGUUAAAAAAGUAAGCGGGAAUUGAUAAUGUCUUCUCCUUCAGUUUACAAAUAUUGCUUUGUGCCUAUGUGUGUCAGCUCAACAACGAAAACUCCGGAUAAAUUAUUCUUUAGCGUACCAAGGAAGCCUGAGUUACGAGCAGAGUGGUGCGCAGCCGUUCACAGACCUCCAGGAUUGUCAUGCAAAUCAAACUGCCACUGCUGCGAAGAUCAUUUUAAUUUAGCUGAAGAUGUCCAAGAGUAUACAAGGUUUUUAAUCCUGAAGAAAAACAAUAUGCCAUCAUUCCGAUUGUCCCUAAAACCUGGUGUAGUACCUCACAAAUUCGAUUGCCAGUCCAGCUGGAUUAAUGGCCGCAGAGUGUCAAGGAGAACAGCCAUGAAAAAGUUGAAUCUAAAUGACGCUCCAAGUUGAAAGGAAAAAUUGGAAUGCAUGUGGUGUACUGCUUGAGCUCUUCUCAAGACAGUUGGUUCGUGCAUAACAUGAGACAGCAGCAGCUGCAUGCUGGCGUUGGAUCACUUUGACUGGGUAAUGCAGCACAGCCAAUUCUAACUUGGCUCUAAAGCAACUCUACCUUUUAUAUUUUCUUGGUGUCUUCACGACGGCAG
rnacentral:lncRNA from 1 species